GGCUGAAUGGCUGCCACAUACAGAAAAUGUGCUUAGAGUUUCAUCCCUGGCACGGUAACACCUCCUGCCUGUCUCACGCCCUGUACGUCAGUAAGGAACUAUUAAAACAUAUCUCAAGUGUAAAAUUUGCAACUUACUGUAUCUCUUGAAAGAUUUUAAAUUCUGGACAGCUGUUAAUGCAGCCUGGAGGCUUCUGAAUUCAUUCAGAGACAGAAUAUCCUGAGUUGGAAGGGACCCACAAGGAUCAUUGGGUCCAGCUCUUAAGUGAAUGGCCCAUACAGGGGUUGAACCUUAAGAAAAUAAAGAAAACUUAAGAUUUAAGAAAACCUUUUCUUGCAGGUUUUAGAGACUCCAUUUAAGAAGAUGGAUACUGCAGUGCAGUUCAAUUAUGGAUUUUGCCUUUAUUGAUGACAUCAAGCAUCUAUAGAGUGAAUGUUGCUCGUCAUUGCUUGCUGAGUAUGUGACAGAGUUGGACGGAGGAAGAACUGAGAUCAGAUUCCUGAUCCUAGACCUGUUCCUAGGCCUUUUCAUCUGAAAGUCCAAAUUUACACUAUUUCCUAUGGUUUCUUUUGCUUGCAGCAGAACGGAGAGCUUGUUGAAAGUAU